rnacentral:rRNA from 1 species
UACAGAGGGUGCAAGCGUUAAUCGGAAUUACUGGGCGUAAAGCGUGCGUAGACGGUUAUGUAAGUCAGAUGUGAAAGCCCCGGGCUUAACCUGGGAAUGGCAUUUGAGACUGCAUAGCUAGGGUGCGGAAGAGGGAAGCGGAAUUUCCGGUGUAGCGGUGAAAUGCGUAGAUAUCUGGAGGAACACCGGUGGCGAAGGCGGCAUCCUGGACCGGCAUUGACGCUGAGGCGCGAAAGCUAGGGGAGCAAACGGG